rnacentral:rRNA from 1 species
UCCUAUAAAAUACAUCUAUACAAAUAAAAUUAUAUAAUCCCAACACAAAAGAUCAUUUAUAACUCCAUUAAAUUUAGCCGUAAGGCUACCAUAAACGAAUAAUCAAGCCAUAUUUCAUAUGUACCUUUUGCAUCAUGGCUUAGCAAGACUAUUUCUUCAAUGAACACUCCCGAAUUCUUAUGAGCUGAUUUUAAGUUGUUACUGAACCCAUAUAUUACUGUUGCAAUAGUAUAUAAAAACCUAAAAUCAGAAGCUACAUACCAACCGCAUAAGAAAAUAGCUGGUUCUUUUAUAAAUUUAUAUAAGUAAAGCAAAUAUUAUUUAUUAUGUUAAAAAUUAAAGGAUAAGCUUUAAUUUUAUUUUAUAUCUAAAAUAAAUAAUCAAAAAGUAGGCCUAUAAACAGCCACCUCAAAAUACGUUCUAGUAAACUAAAUAUACAAUAUUAAUUCAGAUUAUACAUAUAAAAAUACACUUAAAAACUUCAAUAAGCUAAAAUAAUGCUAAGACUAGUAUUCAUAAAUUAAAACAAAAAACUAAACAUUUAUCAUAAACAUAAAUAAUAAAAAUAUAUAAGAAAGGAACUCGGCAAACAUUUAUUUCAACUGUUUAACAAAAACAUAGCCUUAUGAAUCCAAAUAUAAGGUACAUCCUGCCCAGUGAAUAAUUCAACGGCCGCAGUACCCUGACUGUGCAAAGGUAGCAUAAUAAUUUGCCUCUUAAUUAGAGGCUAGAAUGAAUGGACACAUGAGAAUAUAUCUGUCUCUCUUAUAUUAUUAAAAACUGGCCUUCAGGUGAAGAGACCUGAAUUCUUUUAAAGGACAAAAAGACCCUAUUGAGCUUUAUUUCCCUAAAGGAUAAAAACGACUAAAUUACCAACUAAAACCUUCAAGAAAUUUUGUUGGGGCGACAUGGGAACACUUCAAAUCUUCCCAUCUUAAUAAAGAAAUCAAUUCUAUUUAUAGAUCCUUAUACAAAGAUCAAAGAAAACAGCUACCAUAGGGAUAACAGGCUAAUCAUUUCAAAGAGUCCAAAUUGACGAAAUGGGUUGGCACCUCGAUGUUGGCUUAGAGUAUCCCUUAAGUGCAGAAGCUUAAAAAGGUUGGUUUGUUCAACCAUUAAAACUCUACAUGAGCUGAGUUCAGACCGGCGUAAGCCAGGUUAGUUUCUAUCCUUAAAAGUAAAGAUAUUUAUUAAGUAGUACGAAAGGACCCUAUAAUAUUAAUUCUAUUAACACAAAAGAAACAAUAUAAUAAAAAUUAAACUUUUAAUUUUAA